CUGGGACCCAGGUUGGGCGCUUCGGCGCCCGCCCCCACCCUUUGCUUAGCCUCGAGAUAACACAAACCCGUCGGCCCCAGGCGCGCCCGCUUGACAGCGCGGCGCGCCGGCCGGACAUCAAACCCUGAACAACGUUGCAGCCUGAUGUGAAAAGCAAAUAGUUA
rnacentral:misc_RNA from 1 species